rnacentral:rRNA from 1 species
AUUGAACGCUGGCGGCAUGCCUUACACAUGCAAGUCGAACGGUAACAGGUCUUCGGAUGCUGACGAGUGGCGAACGGGUGAGUAAUACAUCGGAACGUGCCUAGUAGUGGGGGAUAACUACUCGAAAGAGUGGCUAAUACCGCAUGAGAUCUACGGAUGAAAGCAGGGGAUCGCAAGACCUUGUGCUACUAGAGCGGCCGAUGGCAGAUUAGGUAGUUGGUGGGAUAAAGCUUACCAAGCCGACGAUCUGUAGCUGGUCUGAGAGGACGAUCGGCAACACUGGGACUGAGACACGGCCGAGACUCCUACGGGAGGCAGCAGUGGGGAAUUUUGGACAAUGGGCGAAAGCCUGAUCCAGCAAUGCCGCGUGCAGGAUGAAGGCCUUCGGGUUGUAAACUGCUUUUGUACGGAACGAAAAGCCCCGGGUUAAUACCCUGGGGUCAUGACGGUACCGUAAGAAUAAGCACCGGCUAACUACGUGCCAGCCGCCGCCGUAA